AACAUAACGAAAGGGUAGUGAAUUUGCCCACAGUGUAUUGUUAAGUUUUUGAAAAUUUUCAAAGCAUUUUCCCAAAAUAUGUGUCAAAAUAAAAUUUGUCACCAAAAAUCAUUCCAUUAGCUGAAACAGAGAAAGUUGUGGCCAAAAUAAGACUCAACUUUACCCCCUAGUGGACGAAAACGUCCCCAACAACACAUAAGGGUUAAAUUGAUUAUUUGAUUAACAAUUUAAUUAGAUUUAAGUUAUUUAUUUACGACAUCUUUAUGUUUAGCCUAUGUAAAUUCUGCGUGUUUUAACGAGCGCGCGCUGAACAUUGGAGUAGCGUUCAUUCAGAUACAAACACCGGAGCGGAGGGAGUUGCCAUGGAAACGGGGCGACCGACAACACUGGCAAGCUGCAAGCUCCGUUUCUUGCUGCUGUUUUCACUGCUUUCGGUAAGUUUAGUCCAUGAAAAUCGCACAAAUAUCAUAUGCCACUGUGCCUGACACUUCUCUUGCUUGUAUUUGACCCGCAUCUGUUGAAUUUACUUCAUAGAAAUGGUGUAGUGUUUUCGAAGUCCGUAAGCAUCUUAACCGUUAUCAGAGGAGGUUUGGUAAUAACACAUUUAUGUGUAGAUGAGAGGCUUUGACAGUUCUAUAAACGUUCUGCUGGUAAUUUUUCAAUGGAUGAUUGAAAAUAGGCUUUUUUAUUUAACCUAAAUAUACACUAAGGUUACCGUUAAUCGGUGACGUCAUUACACCAGCGGUACAGUCCAAACGCAUUUUGAUCUCGUCUAAUGGUAAAGAAAUAUUGAUAAAAACUGUUCAGGAUAUUUAUUAAAUACAUAUUCUUUAUCUUUUCUACAUUUCACCUGUGCUCUAGCUUGGUUCCUUGUGAUAAAACUGGCAUUGUAUACUGAAUAUUGUUGGCUCUGUGACAAACUGCUUGUUAUAUUUCCAGAUUCUUCCGUGUUUGAUGUUCUUCUGCAUCCCAGAGUCUGAGCAAGCCUCCUGUCCAACAACAUCUCCAAGACACACUGAACCAUACGACUAGCAGGUUAACCCCAGACAUACACUAAUGUUCAAAAUUCAGAGUUUUUUAUGUUUUUGAAAAUAAGUCUUUAAUUUUUUUUUAUGCUUACCAAUUUCUGAAAAAAAGCAGAUAAAAAAAGUAAAAUCAAUAAUAUUGUGAAAUAAUAUUACAAUUUAAAAUAGCAUUUUUUUUUGCGAAAUGUAAUUUAUUUCUGUGAUGCGCAGUGUUUCUUUGGCAAGAAAUCAUAUUAUAAUGAUUUCUGAAGGAUCAUAUGACACUAAAGCCUGGAGUAAUGAUGGUGAAAAUCAGCUUUGAUCAUAGCAAUCAAAUGACCCUUUGCAAAAACCCACCCUCGUUAAAUACUGUUGCUGCGUCCAACAAGCCAUGCUGCUCUCACUAUACACACCUUGUUCUCACACAGGGAAAAACACAUCGUGGACCAAAGAGGAAACUGACAACACACAGACAGACAAGACAGAGAAGCCUCGUGUGUGAAGACUUCAGAAGAUGCCAGACCUCACAAAGAUUUCAGAUGAUGGCAACUAUAGAUGAACAUGCAAAGCUGCUAAAUAAUUCUUAUAUUGUAAUCAUUGCCCUAAAAGGAAGGAUCUUAUCAGCAAAUCUACUUCACAGCACAUCAGUGAAAGCAGUUGACAGUUACGGAUGGGUGUGUUGGAUCAGGGUCAGAUCUGAAUUCUGAUGGUUUUCUGGGAUGACAGUUGAAGAUGAUCAGAACAUCAGAUGUUGGUCUGGACAGCUGUACCUACAGUACACCACACUGACCUCUCUGCUUUUGCAUGGAUAACUGACUUACUACCAUGUUCUGUGAAGGUAUUAUUAUAGCAAACCUGAGCACCUGUGACAGUGGAAUAGUUGUAAUGAAUAGUCACACAUGCAUAUUGGUAAAUUUAAAGUUACAGAUAAUUUUUUUUAGUACUAGCAAUAUUUUUAUUUUUAUUUUUUAUUUUUUAUUAAUUCUCUCCAGCAAACACAACACAACAGUUACACCAUUUCGAAUUCUGAGGUGCACAAAUCCUAUUCUACAAAUAAGAGAACAACAGUAUAAAAGUGCUCAGUUUAGCCUCUUUCACACUGAGAUUCCGGAUAAAACACGGGUAAUGUGUCCCGGCAAUUGUUCCCGGAUUGUUAGAUUUUGGUUCAUUCACACUGCCAGUGAUAGCGUUCACACACAACCCAUAAAGGUCCCGUAAUGACACGAGACAUCAGGAUGUGAUGUGUAAUGUAUGAGUUAAAAAUGCUAGGCCGCCAAUAAACGGAAGAAGGAGAAGAAGCAAAGCAGAAGUGUUUUCAAUGCUUUAUAAACAUGGCAGCUGAUCAGCUACUAGGGACAUUGUUGUUUAUGUAUAAAGCAUCUUCCACACAGAAAUUCCGGAAAAUACACGGAUAAUGUGUUCCAGGAUCCUUUGAUUGUGGUUCAUUUACACUGGCAGUGAUUUUCUGGAAUCUGUGUGUCACACACAACCCAUAAAGAUCCCGUAAAGACACAUGACAUUACGAUGCGACGUGUUUUGUUUCACUUAAGCUGGCGAACGAUCUCAGCUUUAGCACGGAUAGUGAGGAACUAACUGAUCUCUGCUUCAUUACAGUUUGCACAUAUUUUUUCGUCACGAAUGUUGAUCUGCCGUCAAAACACCCGGUAAAAGAGUCGCAUGAUAACGUGCGUCAUCACUACGACACACCCUUUACGCCAUUGGUUCUGGCUUUUGUUCACACAGAGCUCGUUCCGGGACUGAACCCAGCAAUGUUCCUAGGUCCCCAAACCAGGAUCAGUCCCGGAAUCAAUCCCGGGACGUGUUUGCGUUCACACAGAAGGCACUUUGGCAAUUUUCCAGCAAUUUUUUGGGACCACCGUGCAGUGUGAAAGGGGCUUUAGUCUAGCACAGUACACAUUUAGUUACAAGUUAUUUAUUUAUAUUAUUUUAUUUUUUUUAUUUUUUUUACAAAUAAGAGCAAACUGAAUAAAAUAGGAUUGAACUGAAUAGAAAAGGUAAGUGCUAGUAUUAAUUGAUCAGGUGCUGAUGGAAAAAGAGGUGUCUUUAAUGUUUUUGGAAAAUGGCUGAAGACUCAGAUGCUCGAACUGAGAAAGGCAAGUCAUUCUACCAUGAUCUUAUCUACAAAUACUACUAUUCUCAUAAAGUCUGUAAAUAUGUCCAGUUCUAAUAAACACACAUUUCAGGAAAAAAUAAUUCAAUAAUAUGACCAAAAUGAAAUACAGUCCUGCAUAAAUCUGGUAUAACUGAGCCUGUGAAUUUCUUAAUUUGUGAUUUGUAGAAUAGGAUUUAUGCACCUGCAAUGAAGAUUUUUGAGAAGGUUUUGUUGUGUUUGUUAGAGAGAAAGAAACAAAAUACAAGCUUGCAACUCCAAAAACAUUUUCUUGAUGACUUUAUUGAAAUAUUCUCUACAAAUACAAAUUCCACUGUCACAGGUGCUCAAUUUUGUUACAAUAAUAUACAAAGUGUCUCGAAUGUACUAUAGAUGUACUGUAUGCAAAUAUAACAAAAGGACAUUAACAACUGAAUAUUCAGGGGAUGCAAACUUAUCACCUUUAAGUAAAAAUAGUCAUUUUGAAUCCAAAAAUCAUUUGCAUGAUUUGUGUAGAUCCAAAGAGUUUUUAAAAGUGCAUUAGUUAAAUAGCACAUGCUAAAUAGCACAAGGCAUAUUUUACAUGUUAUUUACAUAAUAAAAAGAUAAGGAAUACAUAUUUUACAUCAAAUGUUGCCAUUUUAUAUUAAAAUAUACAAAAGAUAAUACCCCCAAACUUGAGAGAAAUGUAAUAAUGGAGUGAUGGUAAAUGUAUAAAAAAGCAACUAAAAAUUAACUUUAUUGUCUUAGUUAUUUGUCUGUCUAUUGUGGGUUACAUUGUCACCUUUUUCAAACCUGACCUGAAUAGUUCACAUCCCUGAUAUUACAAAGAACUCAAGUUUUAAUUGCAAAUGAAAAUGUGCCUCUCUCUUUUAUACAAGGGUAAGAAUUUUUUUUUUUUUUUUUUUUUUUUUUUAGAAAAGUAAUGAUAGUGAACCAUGACUGAAGCUGUCAGUCUCUUAAAGUUCUGUUUUGCAUCUACUUUUGUGCCCCACUGAAAAUAAAAGUCAAACACAUUUGGUAAUAACAUUUUUAUUCAGUAAAUAUGGCUUUUAAUUUGUUACUUGACACUAUUUAUAUUAGCCUAUAAUAUACUUUAUACCUCUUUGUGUGUGUAUUUGUGUGUAAAUGCAUUUUCUUUGAUAGAUCUUAGAGGGUUUGUGCUCUAAACGUGUAUUUGUAACUGUGUAUAAACUGUAUUGUAUAAAUAAUAAAGAAAUUAUGACAAUGU
ensembl:lncRNA